UACGUAGGGUGCAAGCGUUAUCCGGAAUUACUGGGCGUAAAGAGUAUCGUAGGCGGUUUGAUAAGUGUGUGGUGAAAUCUGCAGGCUCAACCUGCAAAUUGCUGCGCAUACUGUCAAACUAGAGGGUAUCAGAGGAGGCUGGAAUUCUCGGUGGAGCAGUGAAAUGCGUUGAUAUCGAGAAGAACACCAAGGGCGAAGGCAGGCCUCUGGGAUACAUCUGACGCUGAUGAACGAAAGCUAGGGGAGCGAAAGGG
rnacentral:misc_RNA from 1 species